UACGUAGGGGGCGAGCGUUGUCCGGAAUCAUUGGGCGUAAAGCGCGUGUAGGCGGCUCGAUAAGUCCGGUGUGAAACCUUGGGGCUCAACCCCAAGCCUGCACUGGAUACUGCCGAGCUAGAGUCCGGGAGGGGAGAGCGGGAUUCCUAGUGUAGCGGUGAAAUGCGCAGAUAUUAGGAAGAACACCGGUGGCGAAGGCGGCUCUCUGGAACGGUACUGACGCUGAUGUGCGAAAGCGUGGGGAGCAAACAGG
rnacentral:rRNA from 1 species